rnacentral:lncRNA from 1 species
GAGAGAUCGAAAGAGGAGCAAAGAUAUUAGAAGACAAUGUAACGUACAGUGUAUAAACGAAUAGACACUAAAUAGAAAAAAAA